AUAUCAAUGUAGAACCAAUUGUUCAUAUUCACACCGGGAGCUAUUUCACAUUUGGCCUGGACUAUGAAAUCUCAAUGCAUACUAGGCAUUGUUUUCAUGCAGAAACCCCUCUUCAUCCUGAUGAAAUUGUGAAUGUUUAGCUCUACAGGUGGAGAUUUUGUUUAAUGUGUGUUAACAGACUCUCUAACAAUGAUAAUUGAACGAGCCAUUGGAAAGAUGAGUUUCUGUGAAAAUUGCUAAAUUUCUUCUGAUGUUACCAAAGAUCAGCUUCCUCAAGAAAUUGCUUAGUUACUUGUGAUAUUACCAAAGCUUGCAGUUGGAGAAGUCCCUAGUGGUGGGUUAUGAUGUUGAAGGCAUGAUUACUCCACAAGGGAAGCACAAGUCGAAAUUCAGAAAGGAGCAGGGCAUUUACCUUAUAUUGAAUAGCAUAUGAUGUAAAUGGAAAAUAAUCCCCUCGAUUUAAAUGAGGAGGCUCUCAUACAUCAAAUUGGUGUCUCGCUUGGCGGUGACUUAAAAAGCCACCUUCAUCUUUAUCAUUAUCAAAUACAUAAAUGUGGCUUGAAUUUUACAAUACUUUUCCAAAUAUAAAAAGUUGUUGGCUUGAUUGAUUUUGAUGUGAAUGUUGCUUGGAUUGUGCAUUCUGUUUUCUUAAUAUUUUUUUGCACAAUGCAUCUGAAAUGUUUUUGGUGGGAAAGCAAAACUAUAGAAACGUUUGAAUUUCAUUAUCAUAUUGGUAUUGAUGGUUCUGAUGUCCAUAAGAUUCCUUCUCCGAAAUUUACCUCAGCAAUGUGCAUACUGUUUUUAUAGCAUGGGUUUAAAGCAAGAUGCUGAUUUGUUGAUAUUGACUACAUGGAAGCAAAGCCAUCAACAGGUUUUAGAAGUAUGUUUAGACGACUGGGGUUCAAAGGCUUGCAUAUAACCAUUUAUUGAAGUGAUCUGCUCACGGUCAUAAAAGGAAUCAAUGUACUAAAAGAGAGAAUCAUGGUUUAAAAGAUGUCCUAUAAAGGAGAGAAGCCGCUGAAGAAAUGACAUUCUGUGUCUAAUGUAAACGCUACUAUUUUCCAAUAAUGCUAGCAGUGGUUUUCAAUGUUCCAACUUUCAGACUAGGUGCUUAUUUGUCAGUGGUUUCUAGGGAUGCAAUCACUACAUCAAUAAGAAUAUUUGUAUUUCUGUACAUGAGAAUCAAUUAGUAUGACAUAAGCAGGUGGUGAAGUAUUGUCAGCCAAUGGGCAAUGCUAUUUGCCUGUCCCGAUAUUAUCAUUGUUAUCAUUGAGAGAAUGAUACUCUCAAAUGCUGAGUUGAAACAUUAUCAUUCAGAUUCUCUCAAAUACUGAAUUGAAUUAACAAAUACUAGAAACACACCACCAAUCCCUCUCACACAAGCAUUGCACAGAGAGAAUCAGAGAGAUUUUUCUGAGGCUUCAACAUCAGAGGACAAGCAGCCGAAUCUGCAUCAGGGUUAGCUUCAAAAGCUUUCAAAGAAGGAAAAGGGUCACUCUCUGAAUUUUUUAGGAUUCUCAUCUUCAGGACCAUUGUAAAUGACAUCUUGGACAAUAGAUGUGUGCAACACCUAAAAAAUAACAGAUUUGUUUUCCAAACUGCCCUGCCACCAUUUGGCAGGAACUACGCUGCAUUGCAGCCCUUGUUAAUUUAGUGAUGCAGAUUUAAAAUGAAUAUAAAUUUGUUUAUUGUUGCAUUCAA